GUUUAAAUGAUCUGAUAUUUGAUUAACAUGAAAUGUUGCUUUUUAAAGGAACAUUCUUAGUUUAUUUUCAGCUCCUCCAGUAUGAGAACGUCAAACAUCGCUUUACUUUCAAUGAUUAUUUGGGGAAAUUAAUUCUUCGGUCAUACUUUUGAAAAUAUCCCCUUCAUCUUUGGCAAAUUUCUAGUUUAAUGUUUGACUAUUUUCUGAUAUUUUCUGUCAAAUAAUCAAGUAACAGACUAAUUUAAUCUGCAAUAAUUUUAAUCAUUGAUCUUAAAAGAUUUUUUUUUUUCCCAAAAAUGGCAAAAUACACUUGUUGUUCCUCAAAUGUAAUUUUCAGUUUUUUCUACUGGUUUUAUGAUGUAGUUUUAAAUUUUUUGUUGAAAAAAUCCGAUUAAGCUAACAACUGAUGUCAAAUACACUGCUGUUAACCUUUAUUCAC